rnacentral:misc_RNA from 1 species
UGGAUUUCGGAGGGAUACUAUCAGUUCGCUCCUUGUUGUUAAAGGAUCGUCAACCAAGUGACGAAUUAUCGAGCAUUGGCCGGUGUAAAAUAUAUAGCCGCGCACGCGCGAGUUGAACGAUGACCAAUGGUCAGUAAAAGAUAGACCUACUCAAAUUCAAAAACAGAUUUCUAUAUUUGUAAAUGAUAUUGUGCACUACGUGAGAGCUAUUACGACCGAGAUGCACCUCCUAUAUUUCGAUUGUAUGAAAGAUUUU